UAGAAAAGUCAUUCUUAAAGAGAAAACAACGCUUAAUUAUAAUAUUCUUAUUUUAGUAGUAUUAUAUAAAAUAUUCUCAAAUUACAAAAACGUAAAAAAGUUCAAAAUACAAAAGAAAUACAAAAAUGACUGCGCGUAACUUUGUUUCGAGAAAUCUAGCUGUAAUAAUUAUGGUCCCAUUUAUUAUUGGCGCUCAUUACGGUUGGUAUAAGUUACAGAAACUGGACAGUCUCGUUCCAGCUGACGAUCGAAAAAAAUUACCAUUUGCAUCGAUUUUCAAAUAAGGAAUAAUAAAAAUAGCCCAUGUACAUAUUAGAAUUAAAAAACAAAUGAAUACAAACUAUAACAUUAUAAGCAUAUAAUAUAAAAUAGUAUAUUUUCAGGCUUUGUAAUAUUAAAUAUGUUGAGUUUUAUAAUUAAACAUUAGUUGUAUUUUAAUAGAAAAUUAUUAAGAUUUAACAA